CCUACGGGGGGCUGCAGUGGGGAAUAUUGGACAAUGGGGGCAACCCUGAUCCAGCCAUGCCGCGUGUGUGAAGAAGGCCCUCGGGUUGUAAAGCACUUUCAGUGAGGAAGAACGCCUGGUGGUUAAUACCCAUCAGGAAAGACAUCACUCACAGAUGAAGCACCGGCUAACUCCGUGCCAGCAGCCGCGGUAAUACGGAGGGUGCGAGCGUUAAUCGGAAUUACUGGGCGUAAAGCGCGCGUAGGUGGCUUGAUAAGCCGGUUGUGAAAGCCCCGGGCUCAACCUGGGAACGGCAUCCGGAACUGUCAAGCUAGAGUGCAGGAGAGGAAGGUAGAAUUCCCGGUGUAGCGGUGAAAUGCGUAGAGAUCGGGAGGAAUACCAGUGGCGAAGGCGGCCUUCUGGACUGACACUGACACUGAGGUGCGAAAGCGUGGGUAGCAAACAGGAUUAGAUACCCGUGUAGUC
rnacentral:rRNA from 1 species